rnacentral:rRNA from 1 species
UACGUAGGGGGCUAGCGUUGUUCGGAAUUACUGGGCGUAAAGCGCGCGUAGGCGGACCUGCAAGUCGGGGGUGAAAGCCCGAGGCUCAACCUCGGAACUGCCUUCGAUACUGCGGGUCUCGAGUCCGGGAGAGGUGAGUGGAAUUCCUAGUGUAGAGGUGAAAUUCGUAGAUAUUAGGAAGAACACCAGUGGCGAAGGCGGCUCACUGGCCCGGUACUGACGCUGAGGCGCGAAAGCGUGGGGGGCAAACAGG